rnacentral:rRNA from 1 species
AUACGUAGGUGGCAAGCGUUGUCCGGAUUUAUUGGGCGUAAAGCGAGCGCAGGCGGUUGAUUAAGUCUGAUGUGAAAGCCCCCGGCUCAACCGGGGAGGGUCAUUGGAAACUGGUCAACUUGAGUGCAGAAGAGGAGAGUGGAAUUCCAUGUGUAGCGGUGAAAUGCGUAGAUAUAUGGAGGAACACCAGUGGCGAAGGCGGCUCUCUGGUCUGUAACUGACGCUGAGGCUCGAAAGCGUGGGGAGCGAACAGGAUUAGAUACCCUGGUAGUCCACGCCGUAAACGAUGAGUGCUAAGUGUUGGAGGGUUUCCGCCCUUCAGUGCUGCAGCUAACGCAUUAAGCACUCCGCCUGGGGAGUACGACCGCAAGGUUGAA